rnacentral:rRNA from 1 species
UACGUAGGGGGCAAGCGUUGUCCGGAAUUAUUGGGCGUAAAGAGCUCGUAGGCGGCUUGUUGCGUCGACCGUGAAAACCCGGGGCUCAACUUCGGGCUUGCGGUUGAUACGGGCGGGCUGGAGUUCGGUAGGGGAGACUGGAAUUCCUGGUGUAGCGGUGAAAUGCGCAGAUAUCAGGAGGAACACCGGUGGCGAAGGCGGCACUCUGGGCCGGAACUGACGCUGAGGAGCGAAAGCGUGGGUAGCAAACAGG